CAAAGGAUGUAGUCAAUCUGAUUUCGGGGUUGACCACCUGGUGAAGUCCAUGUUUAAAGCCGUCUUUCAGGUUGUUGGAAGAGAGUGCUUGUUAUGCACAUUGAGUAUUCCCGGCAAAAUUCUAUCGGCCUACGUCCUGCUUCAUUUUGUUGUCCCAGACCAUGCUUGCCUGUGAUCCCAGUUAUCAUUUGACUGCCCACCUUAGCAUUCCAAUCUCCUGUAAUGAGAAUAAUGUCUCUUUUUGGUGUGUUAUCCACUAAGUGCUGAAGAUCCUCGUAGAACUUAUCUAAUUCUGCUUCUUCAGCAGCUGUGGUUGGGGCGUAUGUUUGGAUCACUGUGAUGUUAAAUGGCUUGCCUUUAACUCGAAUUGAGAUCAUUCUAUCAUUUUUUGCGUUGUAUCCAAUCACUGCUUUCGCAAUUUUAUUAUUAACUAUGAAGGCUACUCCAUUUCUUCGGUGUUCCUCUUGUCCGCAGUAGUAGAUCUAGUGGUCAUCUUUUGUGAAGUGGCCCAUUCCAGUCCAUUUCAGUUCACUGACUCCCAGAAUGUCUAUCUUUAAUCUUGACAUCUCACCAAUAACCACAUCCAGUUUGCCCUGGCUCAUAGAUCUUACAUUCCAGGUUCCUAUAGUGUGUUGAUUUCUAGAACAUCGGAUUUGUCCUUCACCUCCAGCACCGUCGGCCGUUAGUCUUCCUUUCGGCUUUGAGCUAACUGCGUCAUCACAUCUGGGGCUACAUGGACUAGUCCUCUGCUCCUCCCCAGUAGCAUUUUGACCAUCUUUCGACCUGGGGGUCCUAUCUUCCGAUGGUAUACCGACAUUUCUCUGGUUGUACUGAUCCAUAUAGUUUUCAUGGCAAGAAUACUGGGGUGGAUUGCCAUUACCUUCCCCAGGGAUCGUGCUUGGUCUGACCUCUCUGCCAUGACCUUCCCAUCUUGGGUGGCCCUGCACAAUAUAGCUCAUGGCUUCAUUGAGGCACUCAAGCUCCAGCACCACGUCAAGGUAACGAUCCAAGCUGGAAAUGGUGAACUUAGAUGUGUUUUAAUGAAUGAAGCUGCCCGUUUUUAGUGGUGGUAUUAGAGUCCCUGGCGGUGAGGUGCCAAACCAAACUUACUCCUUGCCCUAGCCACUCCAGUUUUUAUUUAUAUCAGCAUUGGGCUUCAAACAUGGAUUGUGCAUCCCACGUGGGCCAUUCUUUUGUUGGACAGUCAGCAAUUCAGCAGUAUAGUUUCCAUAAUGAGUCUGUUUAUGCUUCCCAGUAUAAAUUUAUACUUCGCAGGGCAGUGGUAGCAACAGUAAGAUACACCCAAAGAUGGGGAAAAGAAUUUAAGAGAAUUGGAUGUGUUCCUAUGACACAAGUCAGAGAUCUUAGGAAGCCAGGGGGCUUAUCAUAAACUGUUAGUAAGAGAUCCUUGCUGCAGGAGGAGCUGAACAAUCCAUUGGGCUCUGCCCCAGUGUUGAUUUAUUCUGUCAUUGUUCUUACUCUGGUUUCUUCCCUCAUAACAAAAUGAAGACAGAAUGCAGGGUUUGUUCUUGGCUUUGUUCUCUGGUUUGUUAGGGCUAAUUGAAAUAAUAACGCCUCCUUUCUGUGGUUUCUACUGAGGCUGGGAAUUUGGAUCAUUUUGGUAUACCUGCUUAGAAAUGAAGACUUGAUGGUUCUCUUGUGCUCUUAAGGAGGUGCUUUUAUCUUCCAACUUUAUUUUGAGAUCCAUUAUCUUAGAAAUUACAAAUUAAUAAGCUUAUUUUAGUCACAAACUUAACGCUUUCAUUCAUAUUGACGGUAGUUAUAGGAAAGGAAUCCUGACCUAGCUUAGUUUGUUUUCUUGACUGUGACGAAGUAUAGUGGGUCCAUUGGGCUUAUGAUCUGUUGAUUCUGCCCACUACUCUUGCCAUGUCUCUGUGGAAGCUGCUUGCUUUGGUAGAUAGUGGUACCAUUCCUGCUUGCAUGCAAGAGCACUUCCAAUUGCAGGGUGGUGAGCAAUAUCUGCAGUGAUAUUGUGACCGGUGGUGGUGGUGGUGGCACUCCUGCAUGGUCAUUCGUGGAAGCUGCUUGAGGGGAGAAGGGGGUGGUUAAUGGGCUCUUGCCUCUGCUGUUGUUCUACACGAUUGAGCAUUUGCAUUUUUGCAGAGGGUCCUUGAAUCAACUCCAUGCAAGUACUGAGGGGUCAACUUUUUGCUUAAACUGGUGCUAACAGUGCGAUCUCAUGCAUGUCUUCUCAAUAGCAAAUCUGCUGAGUUCACUGGGAGUUAUUCCCAAGUAAGCAGGCAUAGGAUUGCAGUUUCUGCACUAGCGCUCGGGUGGCACAGUGGGUCCAAGGGUUGACGGAGGCUACAUCUCAUAGCUGUGACAGUAGCUCCAAAAUGGCACAGUAUCACUUGGCUGCCUAGGAGUUGGAGGAGAGGAGUGUACCGCUACCACCAAGAUUUGAGGAGAAGCCAGAAUACCAUUGUUGUUGUUGUUAUUGUUAUUAUUAUAAUUUAUUGAUUUACUUUAUUUAUAACCAGCCUUUCUCCCUGAGGGGAUUCAAGGCGGCUAUAGAGGUGUGAGGCCUCGCUGGUUAAGGACAGCAGCAGUGGCUGCAGUAGUAGCAGGUGAGAAGGGAGGCGGUCUGGGCAAAGGGAGGGGAACAUUGGCCCUUUGCUUACUCACAAGUAAACGACCCAUCCCUAUUUCCCAGAACGAAAGGCAUAAUGGAGGCAGGGAUUGUGGUAAAGGAAGUCCAUGGGAGUGACACACAGAUGGGUUGGGGGAUUCUGGAGUUUGCAUCCAUGUCAGUCAUUGCAUCACCUGGUGAUUUCAAUGCCUCUAGGUUUUCGUAAAGUUCAGAAGUGGCACCGCAGCAGAGAGAGUGCUCACAUUGACUUAUGGAUAAGUUGACCCAGGUUAUUUGACUAUGGUCAAAUCUUUUUUGACUUAGCCAUGAGUAUAUGUGAUAAUACUUGAUGACAACUGGGCUUUCUGAUCCAAAGUUUUUAGAAUUUACUAGAAAUCAUAUAACUCCUAUGUGUAUGACUCUGUAUGUUACCAUUUGGAUGGGAAACAGCCCAUGAAUACUGUUUGACUAUAUUCCAGGCCUGCAUAACUAUAUUCCAGGCCUCCAACUUCUUGAAGCCCUAGACAGCUUGUCCAAUGGCCAGGAAAUAUGUAAGCUGAAGUCCAAAACCCCCCAGGGGGCCACAGGUUGUGCAGGCCUGCUAUAUUUCAAUGGAAGGAACUGGCGAAACCACCCUUGAGUAUUCUUUGCCUAAGAAAACCCUAUAGAAUUGACAGGCGACUUUAAGAACAGACAUGCACAUGUAAAAACAUAUUUAUACCAAAGUGCUGUUGCAUAGAUAAUAGUAUUCUUGUGUUAUAAACUCUUUAGACUCAGUAAGAAAUCAAGAAUAAAGACAUGUUUAGUUGAACAAAGUCUCCACCUAAACAAGACUUGUAAAUCAAACAAAAUAAUUAUUUCCAAAGUCACUGAGUGCUUCCAUUUAAACUAUAUUUAUACAUAAUAUUGAAAAAAAUCUAGUUAACUUUAAAAUAUGUAAGUUCUUGCCAUUUAGGGUUCUGUGAAGCUGAUCAUCAAGAGGGUUGCAAAUCAUUGACUGUUUCUAUUUUCAGAAUUCCACAUCCCUGAGUAAUUUGCUUUAAUUUCACCCAAUCUAACCUAUACUUCACACCAUCACCAUUCAGCUGUAAUAGCUAUGUUCUGUGCAUAAGAAAAGCAUAUAAAUGUCCACAAUUACACUGCAAAUGAUUACAACUAGUUAGUGUUUUAUGAAGCACUGUAGAACCAAAGUUACAAAGUAUUGGAAAAAUUAUUUCUUCCGAAAGUGUUUUGUCACAGAAUUUUGCUUUUCAGUUGCACCUUUAAUUUGCUUAGAUUUAAGUUGCUGGCGGGUGUACUUAUAGGUUUUCAAAAGCCCUCUUUCGUAUAAAACAUUUAACUUCUGUGUGAAGACUGCACAGUUAGAAUUCUCAUUUCCCCCACAUUUUUGGCACAGAAUCAAAGCUAGUCCUCUAUUUUGGCUCCACAGUAUUCUCUGUCAUGGUCUUUUAUUAUUGGUGGUCUCUGUACAAUCUCAGGAGUAGGUUCUGUUGCUGUGUAUAACAAUGUUGGGAUAGUCUGGUGUUACACUUGAGACGGAAGGAAACUUAAAAGGAAGUGGGGCAAGUGCUAAUUUGAAAUAUUUUGCUGAUACAUCCCCAGUUCCUAAUAGAGCUAAAGAUCAUAUUGCAGUAUCCUAUUUUAGUUUGUAAUGAGUUUGGAUGAUUUAUUUGGCUUAUUAUAAAGAGGAGUCAAAAUGAGACUUGCUGGAUAUGUUAUUGGGCAGUGUUUACAACAUUCUGGCUUUACUGAAACAACAAGAGGCAUCUACGCUGUAGAAUAAAUGCAGUCUUUAACACCACUUUAACAGCUCUAUGCUUUGAAAUCCUAGGGUUUGUAGUUUGGUGAUGCACCUGCACUCUUUGGCAGAGAAGGCUAAAGACCUUGUAAUAUGACAACUUCCAUGAUUCCAUAGCACUGAGCCAUGGCAGUUAAAGUGAUGUUAAACUGCAUUCAUUUUACAGUGUACAUUCAUUUUAUGACUAACAUUGUACUGGUGUUACAGUGCUAUCACAGCAGAACUUUUUUCUUUAUUCCCUGCAUCUCUGCAUACUACUUCUAAUUAGAUCCCAAGGGCAUAAAAGAGGCUGCUUUGCCAUUGUGUAUUGUCCCAAAUCCCCCAAAUUAUGGUGGUGGAGGAGCUUAAACUGAAGGAUCUUCCCCUCCCCCUCUCACUGUCCCGCAACCCUGUACACAGCAUAGCUAGUGGAGCCACAUGUGGACCUACUCUAGGCUAAGAUAUAUACUACUUGUUUACUGAACAAUAUCUACAGAGACAUUCCCUGUUUUGUAGGGAGAGGAAAGGAUUGCAGAAGUGUUUGGGGACAUUUCUAUAACCAGAUGUGAAGUGAGUACAACAGCUCCGAGAUCUCAGGCAAACAGCACAGAUCUCAGCAGUGAUGUCAUCAUUUUAUAUCUGUCCACAGCAGUGGUUCCCAACCAGUGGUCCGUGGAACACCAGUGGUCCCCAAGAACUAAAAUAUGGUCUGCGCCUCACCGUUGCUGCAACGAGAGUAACUGGUCUCACGAAACCUAAUAGUGUCGGGGCAACAGGAUGUCUGGAGGGGAGAGGCUGACUACCCACAAAAGGUGCGACAACAAGCCUCCUGACUGCUCCUUCUCGUCCUCCCUCCCCCUGAGUGGAGCCGUUCUAUGUGGGGCCUGGAAGCCUUGGUGCCUUCAUUUUUAGACCUGUUCCUGUGGUUAUUUGGGGUGCUGAUUCAGAAAAUUGCAAUGGAUAGAUCACUUCAGCUCUAGGUUAUUAAAUAUGGUUUUCUGUGGGUGAGCAGAUGGCGACUACUGGAUGGCAUAUGUUCUGUAUCAGAAACUAGAGCUGAUGUGGUCUAUCCAAUGCAGUUUUCUGAAUCAGCAUACCAAAUAGCCAAACUGAAUCUAAAGUUGACCAAAAACUGAUUCGUAACCCUUUUGGUACUCAAAGUUGGAGGGUUGUCCCUUGUCAAAGUGGUGCCCAGUCAAAGUAGUCCCUGGGCAAAAAAAGGUUGGGAACUACUGGUCUAGAGAAGGGUGUUUUAGUGACCUUGUCCCCUCCCCAUGGAGCAGGAAAUAACAACAUCCACAAAAUCUCCCCAAAAUUACAUACACAUCUAAGGAAAAUAUAUGUGUUUGUCCCUAAAAGGAUGCCAGUUAAGGAAGCAGACUUUAUUGACUUUAUCAAUAACUACUGAUAAUUGCAAUACUGGAAAAUAAUUGGAGCAAUGAAGAGGUUGAAAAAAAUACACAAAGGGUAACCCAAAAAACAACUUCAAAUUUAAACUGCUUGAGAAAAAUACCAAACUUAAAUUGAAUGAAAUUGAGCCAAAAACUGACUUGUAAGUUUCCAAAUGUUCAAACCUAGUGAAAUAUAGAAAUUUAGAAACUUACACCCAUAUGUACAGGUAGUCCCUGAGUUACAUUUUAAAGUGUAACUCUAGCCAUGUUUUUAAAGUUUUGGAUAGCAUAGGGACUCUUGUGGUGUUUGUUUUGCAUCUGUGCUCCUGUUCAAAAGAUUUCACUUCGCUUUCUGUCCCUGUAUCAACUGGAUUUUGAAAAUUUUGGUUUGUUGUGGAAACAAGGAUUGGUGAUAAAGCUUCAGUGGAGACACCUUUUCACCAUGAUCACUCUUUAAGGAGUGAAUUUCCCUUCCUAAGGGUAGAUUUCCUCUCAUUUCCUGUUGUCUCAAUGAGUCAUGUGUAGGUUGGAUGUCUAUAAUUCAAGGACUGCCUGUAUUUAUAUAAAAUUGUACUUAGCAAGAUCCUUUAGUUAGAGUGCUCCAGUGAAGAAUCAGCAGCGAGGUAGGAUGAAAAGAGAAAUAGACUUCCAUAGGAGGCCUUUUCAAAGUUCCUGUUGAGACCUUUGUUAUGGUGAGGGACAAGCCUUCCCUUCCCUGUCGGGAUGAGGCCAUCAUUCACAAAAGUGUGGUGUCCACCUGCAAGAGGACCUCCAUGCUUUGGGUUGAGCAUGUAACACUCUGUGCAUAUUCUCUCGCAAGCUCCUUUGAAGCUCCUGAAUAUGUCAUCCCGUCAUCGUCAUCCUGUUCUUUCCUGGUGUAACUUCUCUGUACUUUUGAACAUUGGCACUGUGAUUGUUUUAAGAUUUCUGUUGGGUUUAUUUAUUUAUUUAUUUAUUUAUUACAGUACUUGUAUUUCCCCCCCCCCCCUUCUCACCCAAUAGGGGACUCAGGGCGGCUUACAAUAAAAACAUAUAUAAAAAUAAUACAGAACAUUCGAUCAAUUAAAAUUAAAUAAAAUAAACAUUCAUAAAAAUAUACAUAUAAAUAUACAAUUGGCACAUUUUGAGUCUAAAAAAAUGGGUCUGUCAUUGAGUUCUAAAGCAUGUAGUAGUAAUUGAUACUGCUAUUAUUGUUCGAAGGCCUGGUCCCACAACCAGGUUUUAACUUUUCUAUGGAAAGAUAGGAGGGAAGGAGCCUGCCUGACAUCAUUUGGCAGGGCGUUCCAUAGGCGGGGAGCCACUACUGAAAAGGCCCUGUCUCUCGUCCCCACCAGCCGCACCUGUGAGGCUGGCAGGAUUGCCAGCAGGGCCUCACCUAAAGAUCUUACAUUUCGAGGUGGGUCGUAGCGGGAGACACGUUUGGACAGUGAAGCUAACACCAGCACCUUGAAUUGUGCUCAGUAGCUAAUUGGCAGCCAGUGGAGCUGACGUAACAGAGGAGUAGUACGCUCCCUGUAUGCCGCUCCGGUUAUUAACCUGGCUGCCUCCCAUUGCACUAAUUGAAGCUUCCGAACAGUCUUCAAAGGCAGCCCCACGUAGAGCGCAUUGCAGAAGUCUAAUCGGGAUGUAACAAGAGCAUGGACCACCGUGGCCAAGUCCGGCUUCCCAAGGUACAGGUUAUUUGCAUUAUGCUUGUACCACGGUUAUACUUCAAAAAACCAUUGAAUAUCAAGGGAGCAAAAAAAGGAGCCCCGGUGGCGAAGUGUGUUAGAGCACUGAGCUGCUGAACUUGCAGACCAAAAGGUCCCAGGUUCAAACGCCGGGAGCGGCAUGGGCGGCCGCUGUUAGCUCCAGCUUCUGCCAACCUAGCAGUUCGAAAACAUGCCAAUGUGAGUAGAUCAAUGGGUACCGCUCCGGCGGGAAGGUAACGACGCUCCAUGCAGUCAUACUGGCCACAUGACCUUGGAGGUGUCUAUAGACAACGCCGGCUCUUCGGCUUAGAAAUGCACAUGAGCACCAACCCCCAGAGUCAGACAUGACUGGACUUAAUGUCAGGGGAAACCUUUACCUUUAUCAAGGGAGAAUUUGGUUUUCAGUCCUCUUGUCAGUUCGGGCAACUGGCAGGCUCUCUUCCCAUUAUAUGUAGUUAUAAAUUGGUUCUUCAAUUGGUUUCUUAUCUGGAGAGGCCAGCUUUAAACCAAAACAGUUGUUGCCAUUUUUAUCUAUAGUUCAGGUUUGCAGACUUCAUGUAUAUUAAGCCAGCAUUUUAAAAAAUAAUUAAAAAAUCACAUGUUCAUGUUGCGAUUUCAGUUUUGGGACUCAAUCCCACAGUAGGUCUUUCUGCAUUUUCUCACUACAUUAUUUAUUUGGGGUAUUAUUUGGGAGUAUUGUCAAAACCAUCCAUUAAACUUAUUUCAAGAUCAGAUUGGUAGUUUGAAGCUUUUUAAAACAGUCCAGUUUUUAACUAAUUAAUGUAAAACCUACAGUUUAAUUCAACAGCAAUUACUCUCCCAAAAUGCAUCAUAAGAAAGAUUUAAACAUGACUGCAGUUUAUGUGCGAUUGUAUUUUGGAAGCCCAUUUCCUUUUAUUUAUUUAUGCGACUUUUUAUUGGAAGAAUCAAUGCAACUCUGUUUUUGCCUUUUUUGCUUAAAAGGCACUUGUUGAACAUUGCCACAGAAUAUACAUCAAGCAUCAUUUUAUUGCAGAUAAAUUUUAGUAUUUCAAUUAAUGAAUGUUCAACUAUAAUAUGCAUUAAAAUAAUUUGUUUCUAAUGGAAAUAAAAAAGGAAAAUGUUCUAAUUAAUAUGCAUGGAGUAUGGAUAUGUGGAAGAGCAUAUCUGUUUGUUGAAUCAUAACAAUAAUUUAUUCAAUGUAUGGUAAAAGACAAAUAUCCAAAGUGGAUUGCUACAGAUAUUCUCUUUUUCUGCAGUAUUUUCCUGCAGUAUACAAAAUGUAGGCAGCUUCGUAUUUAAGUCAAACUAGUUUCCUGUGCUGUAUCAUAAAACUUUCAGCCCAAUCAGCAACUGCAUUUAAAUACCGCAAAUUGUAGCAGCAAAACAAUAAUUCUGCUGAUUAGCCCCUUUCCAUUUCUUGUAAGUGAACUGUUUAUGCUGUUGAGUACCUUUUGAAAAAAGAAAAAGCCAAAACAGCCUUGAUUAGUCAAGGAGUAAUUGGAUGACUUGAUUUUAGCAAGAGAAUGAAUUGGUUGAUGAUAGCCUGUAACUAAGUGUAGUGGUUCUGUUCAGAGGAAUACAUAACAUAGAUUCAUCAGAUCUUGACAGGUAUAAUAUAAGCACUGACAAAAUCUGUGAAUGUUUUGAAAUAAUUGUCAUAUGGACAGUAUAAGAAAUGGCAGAAGAGUGUGCUGGAGUGUGUAUGGAGGCAACUUCUAAUAUCAAGUAUGGAUGUUAACAUAUGGAAAUAAACAUAUACAUGAAAACCUGAGGAAUCUAUGCUUUCUGUACAUUAUUGCAGGAAUAUAAAACAUGGGCCUUCAUGGGAAAAAGUAUACUUGGUGAAAAGUGGUUCUUAAGGCUGGGAAAAGGCCCUCAAAUGAGACCUAUUGAGAGAGCAAGUUAAAAACCUGGAAAUAGAAAAGAAAUAUUGCUGCUAAAUUUUGAUGAUAUUUUAAAGCUUCCUUCCUUAGGCAAACCCAAGAUUUAGGGAAUGAGAGUAGACUGAAUACAUAGUGAGAUUUUUCUCUAUGAUAUACUGAAAACCAAAACCCUAAGGCAAUUAAUGUGGCACUAGAAAUGGUGUGAGGUCAUAUGUGGAAAAUGUGUCUUCCUUACAAUUAUUCAAUAAUGCAGAUUCACUAUAUAUUUUUAGCAGGGGGAAUGAAUUGCAAGAAUAGUGUUAAGAUAAACACUUGUGCAAAGUUGAAAUUUCUGUAGUUGGAACAAAUUAGAGUUGAACUUAGAGAUCCCAGCCAUUUCCUUACAUGGUACUUCUAAGUUAUGCUUGGCACAUGGUUAUUUAAAGAUAUCUGUACGAUGGUUUUUCAUAUGGGAGAUAGAUUCUUUGAGGUUUACAAUAGGGCCUCUGUUGUCUUAGAGCUGUGGAGUAAAGCAACAACAACACCUGUGUGUCUUCUAUCCCACUGGCCUAACGGAUUCUCAGUGCAGCUUCGUCAUUCUUGAAUGUAGACUUGUUGAUGUAAAACCUCUUGGAAGAAACAGAAGCACCAUCUAGAAUGAAUUCCGUGCUAAUCUUGGUUGGUCCUACCAUCAAGCAGAAUGAGAUGGUACACCAAGAAGAAGAUUGCAGUAUCACUAAAAAGCAGCAAAGUGUUAGUUGCGUUGAUUUUUUAAAUCAUCAAGGAAAUACUAUUGGGACCUGCAACAAUGUAGGCCUUCAGACAUCUUGUCUAAUUGGGAUGUUCAUUGAAUAUCUGUAACCGACAUAUUCUUUUUUUUUUACUCAUUGCCAUCUGGCAAACGGUACAGGGUGACAAAGACAAGGAUAAACAGACUGAGAUAUAACUUUUAUCCUAGAACUGUGGCUAUGUUGAACUUUCGCACUGAUGUGGCAUUGGGGGCUGUAUAGUGGUGGUUGGGGUGUGGAGGUGGAUGGGUUUGUUGUUUUGUGGUGUGUUCUGGGGAAGGCAUUUAAUUUCGUUGUGCAAUAGCACAAUUACAAUAAAGCUAUUCUAUUCUAUUCUGUAAAAGCACUAUAUAUGGGACACCUAUAAGAGCCCUAUUCUUUUCUUCUUCACAUUUUGUAAUUUACUUUCCCACUCUUCGCCCAACAUAGACCUUUGAAAGAAAUGUUCUGUCUUGAUGUUACCUAUAAGAUGAGAGUGGUAAUCUUGUACCUUAUAUGACAGUUUUACUCGCACUACACACUCAGUGGAAUUCCUUUCUGUUUCUAGUUACUUACUUCCACAGAGCUAUCUCCCUCUGGGUCUCUCAGUGGGAUAAUGCCUCAUUAUUAGGAGAACUCAAGUCAAUAACUGGUGGUAAUGAACUGCUUAUCAUACGAUCAUUUGUGAACAAACUGUAGACCAGGUCAGUGAAGAUACUGUGAUUAUGUGACUGCUUAAGGUGAAAUAACUUCAUAUCUUGGGGAGAGCUUAGCUGUGUUCCUUCUGAGGCUGUUGAGAUUGCGGACAUAACGUUUUGUCAGGAAGUCUGUGGAAGAUGAAAUCCAGAGCCUGUUCUUUUUAUGUUUUGGAGAUAUAAUUUUGUCUCUGUGCAUGUUCCUUUAAGUCACCUGUCCAUUUAUGGCAACUCUGAAUUUCAUAAGGUUUUUCUGAGAAUUAAGACCUUUAGUGUGCAAAGGCGUAUAUAGCCAGGAGCUCAUGUCUUCCCUGGAUUAGAGCAUCUACGUCAGAUGUGAAACUUCCAGGUCUACAUUUUAUAUGCUUGAAUCACAACUGUCGUAUUGAGGAAGGAGCUUGUCUGUCAGUCCUUGGAAGCUAUAGGACACAAUGCAUGCUCACACAGGUAGUUCCGUGGAAACACUUUAUUGAAAUCCUUCUUGCCAAGAUGAACACAAAGCUAGUACUAACCCAUUCCCGCCAAGACCCCAGCAUAUCAAACUAAUACUUCCCUCCAGCCCCCCUUCCACAUUCACACCUUUCUGUCGAUAGUCUUUUCCCAAGCUUGAAAACCAGAGCAGGCCAUAAAUCAAUCCUCCUAGCCAGAUGGCUUUUAUCAUUUAGGCUAUGUCCACCCCCAUAGCUCUAGCAGGAUGGGUACAGUUCAGCUGGUGUGAGUGCUGGGCAUUCACAUCCUGACAUUGUCUUCUGCAGCUCAAGAGAAUAGAACACGGAGCAGUGGAGUCAAGCUACAGGAAAAGAGAUUCCACAUAAACAUUAGGAAGAACUUCCUGGUGGUAUAAGCUAUCUUACAAUGUAAUACACUGCUUUCAGGUGUGAUGAGUUCUCUUUUGGAGGUUUUUAAACAGAAGCUGGAUAGCCUUCUGUCAGAAGUGCUUUGAUUGUGUAUUUCUGCAUGGCAGGGGAUUCGACUGGAUGGCCUCUGGGGUUUCUUCCAAGUUUUUAAUUCUAACCAUUUUAGAUAAAUAAGCAUGGGGAAUUAUGUUCAACAUAGAUCCUCAUCACUUCUUUGUUGUGUGAGACUCAAACCACUGGAGUGAUUCUGUAGAACUCUUACACAUCCUCAAGGAUGUUCUAUGUUUCCUACCUUUGGAUAGUUAGCUAGAUAACUGGGGUGCUGUUAGUAGAAAAAUAUCACCACUCAAUAGGCUUGUGUACGUGAUUUUCCAGGUGAGCUCCUCAGAAUGGAUACCCCACCAUUCUGACCUAUUGUACUUAAACAAACAGGAUGAAGCUGUUUAAUGAAGAUUUAAAAAACUAACAUUAAUGUCACAAUCAGCAAAUUUUUAUCAGCAAAAAAUGUGUGCAAAUCCGAGUAGGGUGCCCUGUGCAGCUGACAGAUGGUAAUUUUGUCAGUGCCGAUUGUGUUUAAGUGCAGGCCAAGGUCUUUAGGCACUGCACGCAGUGUGUCGAUCACCACUGGGACCACCUUUACUGGGUUAUGCCAGAGUCUGUUGGGUUAUCUAGCAAUCAUGCAUGCAUUUUCAAUGUGGGAUGGUUUAUGUUGUUAGUUUUGUUUGUUGCUUAGUAAUCUGAAGCCAAAGCUGCAUUCCAGAGUUAAUGGCACCAUUUUAGGGGUUUUGCAUGUGAUGUGGGAAAUUGGAGUAUACUUCCUGGAGGCAUACAGGAAGUUACAUAUGCCUUUAGAAUUUGGGACAUAAAAGGGGUGACUUUCUUUUGUUCUCUCUCUCUUCACCUCUUCCUGCUCUUCUUGCUCUUCCUCUUUUUGGCUCUUCAUCCAGCCAUGCCAUGCUGAUGUUAUUUCUUGUUAAGAGAUAUGUAAUAUCCUGAACUGUAUUCUUUUGGAACUAAGAUGUUUUUACCUGUAUAACCAUCAUCAUACAAGAUUGGUCUACACUUGGGAUCUGUUGUCGACUUUUCUAUUCUGGCUUUGAUUGUUCUUGGGCUACAAGAAUCAGGACCUCGGUCUCCUUUUUCAAAGUUCCAUUUGUGAGCCACUUCCAUGUUUUUUCCUUGUCAGAUUUGCUCUCAAUUUUUCCCAGGAACUGUCCAUGGAGAGCCUUCUUUUGCCAGUUUUCUCUUCUGCUCUGCAUUGUGUUUUUACGGUAUUCACUUUUAACGGUAUUUUGCACUUUAAGCAGUUUUCUACUUUUGACUUCCAUCAAUGUUGGUUCUUGACUGUCUUUCACAUAAUCUGCCAGUGCAUGUUUCUCUUCCUCUACUGUUUGUUUCACUUGCAGAAGCCCUCUGCGUCCUGAUCUUCUGUGUCCAGUUCACAAUUCCAGCAGUGUAUCUGAUGAUGGGCAUUGCCCAGGUGUUGAUAGCCUUGAUUGUAUUUCUGCCAUUUAAUUUGCUCUUCAAAAUUUUCUGACCCUUUGGACAUAUUUUUUGCUGACCACAUUUUUUACAUUCUCAUUCUUGAUAUUGUCCAGAUAUUUAUAGGCUUCAUUUAUUAUUAUUAUUAUUAUUAUUAUUAUUAUUAUUAUUAUUAUUAUUAUUGGUUGAAAGGUGACAAACGUGUUGCCUCAGAUAAAUAAAUAAAUGCACCACAGUAUUUAUCUACAGAAGGCAUGGCCAACGUUGGCAGGCCAUAGGUUUUCCAUCUCUAAAGCACAGGUGGAAGGUCAUAAAAAUAUUCAAGAUUGGAAUUUAUCAAGAUUUCAAGAAAAAAAGUUAGUGGUCAAUGGGAAGGAUAGUGAAGAGUAAAAAUUUGUUAGAAAUAAUCUGCAUAAAAUUAAAUAAUAAUACAUUUUAUUUGUUAUAAAUGAACAGGUGAAAGAGAAAAAGAGAGAAUGUCUGUAUUGAAGUAGUUCAAGUGGGAGAUAAGCCUUUUCAAGAAAUAGUCUAGGUUAUAAUCAAGAAAGAGAAAAUAUUUAAAAAAUGGGUUUCAUUCUGCUAGGAGUAGAACUUGAACAUCCUCAGGUGGCUUGCCCUAAGCUCACACAGUGCGACUUAUGGCUUUGUGAAGACCAGAACCUAGAUCUCCUUCUUCUCAGUCCAUUACUCUUAACAACUUACAUACUGGAAGGUUAGGUUACUAGUAAUAUCAUAAUGACCUUUUUGACAACAACAAAUAUUAAUCCUGAUACCAGUCAUAUGUUUUAAAAAUAUUAUUAUAGGGUGCUUAAAUUUUUAUUUCAUGUAUUGUGCUAUUAAUAAACAUGUUUAAUUUU